CUGAAGGACACCUGGGGGAUCCAACUCCCGUGGUUCCAGUUCAGCAAACGAAUCCAAAGAUAAGGUGGCCAGAAGACAGAGCAUGAGUUACAGGCAGUUGUGAGCAUCUGGCUCUGAGGGCUGGGAACCAAAGUUGUUCCCUUUGGAAGAACAUGAAAGUCUCUUAAGCAUCGAGAGCCUCCCUCACACCACAAGGUCACAGAAAAAACUGAGAAGCACAAUGUCAAUGAGGUAGAUUCGACAGAAAACCUGAACCUUGGUGCUGCAACUUCAGUUUUUCAAGCACUUGAUGAAAAGGCUAAAGACCAAGUGGAGAACCAAGUAGAGCAUGGGUCUGUGAUGAAAACUUCCAAAGCAACAAAUAAGGUCAAAGAAGUAAUUAAUAAGUUUGGCCCUAAUACAUUUGUCCUGCAUGAAAGAAUCUCAGAGUACUGUGAAAUGCUCAAUUUUGACACAAUCUUGUCACUCAUAGAAGAGCUCAUGAAGCAGAGCAAAGGUAAGAGUGCUGCACAUGUGUCUGUGUGUGUGUGUGUGUGUGUGUGAUAGAGAUGAGUACACACUGCUUAGAGCUGCCCGAUAUGACAAGGGUGUAUUAGAGUAUUGUCAAUGUCACUGAUUGGCUUUAUAUCAAAG